rnacentral:lncRNA from 1 species
UAUAUCUACAAUGAAUUAAUGAAUGAUUUAAAUAACUGAUAUAUGUAGUGGUGAGGCAAUAGUGGAUGGAUAUAUGGAGAUACUUAUGGAUUGUUCCGGCGCCAAUUGCAUCGUUAACCUUGUUUCAGUAACUAGUUACUCGGACUCUUACUAUUUCGUUAAAAUGGCAACAAUGUCAACGCUGCGCUUGCUGCGAUUAACACUGUUGCCAUUUUAACGAAAUAGUAAAAGUCCAAACACAGAUCCGGCUCGAAGGACCAAAAUGUUGUGAAAACUGCUUGUCUUCACUUCGCUGGUAAAAUAGAAAUAGAAUAGAGACACUGUGGACUGUAAUUACUUAUAAUUGAAUAAAACAUUUACAAUGA